CCGUAUCUUUUUGUCCAUCUAACUUAUAUUUUUUAAAAAUACGUUCAAAUUAAAUUAGAUACUGGCUUUUAAUCUUUAAGCUACAGAAAGAAAAAAAAUAUCUAUAAAUUUUUUUUUUAUAAAAUUCGGACUAGAUAGUUUUGUUGAUACUGACUAUGCUUAAAUACACAAUCUCAUUCAUAAAUUUCAAAGAAUUUUAAUUU
rnacentral:lncRNA from 1 species